rnacentral:rRNA from 1 species
UACGGAGGGAGCUAGCGUUGUUCGGAAUUACUGGGCGUAAAGCGCGUGUAGGCGGUUGCCCAAGUCGGGUGUGAAAGCCUUGAGCUCAACUCAAGAAAUGCACUCGGUACUGGGUGACUAGAGGACCGGAGAGGAUAGUGGAAUUCCCAGUGUAGUGGUGAAAUACGUAGAGAUUGGGAAGAACACCAGUGGCGAAGGCGGCUAUCUGGACGGUUUCUGACG